GCUUGCGUCACUCGGGCCAGCCACCAUUUUGUCUUAUCCCGUGUUAACCACAGCUGGAUGCAAAACGUUCGAAACGUUAACGAUGCCCCUACAGAUGUGAUCCAACUCAAUGAAAAUGAAUGGGGCUGUGCUGUCACAUUUCUACUUUUUGCAGUUGAGUGAACUUGGAACAUGUUAAAGUCAACAAUAUCCAUCAAUGAGGGAAAUUUGUACUACUAAAUAUGGCCUACUAUAUUUAAAACCAGAAUGACAGUUCCUUAAAAGAAAGCACUAACUGUGUCUUAUCUUGGCAUCCCCACUGUCUUAAGUAGAGAUGGGAGUAAAUAAACAUGUGAGCCCUUAAUUUGGAGUUAGGAGCCCUGGGUUCAGUUCCUCAUUUUGUGGUCAGAGCUACAUAAACCUGGUUGCUUGUUUGGUUAAUUAAAAGGCAUACUACUUGAAAGCAGAAAGGACACAAAAUGGAAGACUGGGCAGAUGGGUCAAGAUGGAAUGUCCCUGGCUCAGGCAUGCCUGUGAUUCUCUUCACUGAAACAAAUCCUUUAUUCUUCUUCUAGCUAAGAUUCAACAAAGGCACAGAAGCAGCCCUUCAGUGUUUCCUACUUCAGAUCAAAGUCCUUUUUAUACUUGGCGUGCAACCUAGUUGCAUCGAAUUCAGUAUAAAAUGGAA